AACGCACCUUGCGCCCUUUGGUAUUCCGAUGGGCAUGCCUGUUCGAGUGUCUUGAAUUCAUCGCCGCCUCCGGUUUUGCGACCGGCUGGCGGCGGACUUGGGGGUCUGCCGCGGCGACGCGGCUCCCCUCGAAUGCAUCGGUGGGGUCUCCGAGCACCCACGGGCGUUGUAUUGUCCUCGUCCGACCGGGCCUCGCGUCCCCCCGCCUCGACUGCCGUCCGAGCGGCGGUCAAGCACACUUUGAAAUCUGACCUCGAAUCAGGUAGGACUACCCGCUGAACUUAA
rnacentral:misc_RNA from 1 species